GCGCGAGUGUCGGAAUUGGCAGACGAGCUAGACUAAGGAUCUAGUGAUUAUUGCAAUCGUACGGGUUCAAGUCCCGUCUCGCGCA
rnacentral:tRNA from 1 species